rnacentral:rRNA from 1 species
UACGGAGGGUGCAAGCAUUAAUCGGAUUUAUUGGGCGUAAAGGGCGCGUAGGCGGGUUGGCAAGUCAGAUGUGAAAUUCCGAGGCUCAACCUCGGAGCUGCAUUUGAAACUACCGAUCUUGAGGUAUGGCGGAGAAAACGGAAUUCCACGUGUAGCGGUGAAAUGCGUAGAUAUGUGGAGGAACACCGGUGGCGAAAGCGGUUUUCUAGCUUAAACCUGACGCUGAGGCGCGAGAGCAAGGGGAGCAAACAGG